rnacentral:rRNA from 1 species
GACGAACGCUGGCGGCGUGCUUAACACAUGCAAGUCGAACGGAAAGGCCCUGCUUUUGUGGGGUGCUCGAGUGGCGAACGGGUGAGUAACACGUGAGUAACCUGCCCUUGACUUUGGGAUACAUUCAGGAAACUGGGGCUAAUACCGGAUAGGUGCUCCUGCUGCAUGGUGGUGGUUGGAAAGUUUCGGCGGUUGGUGAUGGACUCGAGGCUUAUCAGCUUGUUGGUGGGGUAGUGGCUUACCACGGCUUUGGCGGGUAGCCGGCCUGAGAGGGUGACCGGCCACAUUGGGACUGAGAUACGGCCCAGACUCCUACGGGAGGCAGCAGUGGGGAAUAUUGCACGAUGGGCGGAAGCCUGAUGCAGCAACGCCGCGUGCGGGAUGACGGCCUUCGGGUUGUAAACCACUUUCGCCUGUGACGAAGCGUGAGUGACGGUAAUGGGUAAAGAAGCACCAGCUAACUACGUG